GUGACGAAGCGACGCCGCGUGUGGGAAGAAGGCCUUCGGGUUGUAAACCACUGUCAGGAGUUAAGAAAUGUAAGGGUGCUAAUAGUAUCCUUACUUGACUAAGGCUCCAGAGGAAGCCACGGCUAACUCUGUGCCAGCAGCCGCGGUAAUACAGAGGUGGCAAGCGUUGUUCGGAAUUAUUGGGCGUAAAGAGCACGUAGGCGGUUCUGCAAGUCGGCUGUGAAAGCCUUCCGCUCAACGGAAGAACAGCAGUUGAUACUACAGGACUAGAGUGCGGGAGGGGAGAGUGGAACUUCUGGUGGAGCGGUGAAAUGCGUAGAUAUCAGAAGGAACGCCGGCGGCGAAAGCGACUCUCUGGCCCGUAACUGACGCUGAGUGUGCGAAAGCUAGGGGAGCAAACGGGAUUAGAUACCCCGGUAGUCCUAGCCGUAAACGAU
rnacentral:rRNA from 2 species